UGCAGUGGUUAGCACACUCGGCUCACAACCGAGAGAGCCCUGGUUCGAUUCCCGGGCGGAGUGGAAAAAUUUGGGCGGCUUUUCCGAUACCCUACGCCCCUGUCCACCCAGCAGUGAAUGGGUACCAGGUAUUAAUCGGGGGUUGUGUCCCGUCUCCUGGGGUCUGUUCCCUUCUCCUAUGAUUCCUUCCCCUUCUGUGUCUCUCCGGCAUAUGACCACAGAUGUUGCGCUGACUAAACCAAACUUUCCAACUGUUCCCUUCUCCUAUAAUUCCUUCCCCUUCUGUCUCUCUCCGGCAUAUGACCACAGAUGUUGCGCCGACUAAACCAAACUUUCCAACUGUUCCCUUCUCCUAUGAUUCCUUCCCCUUUUGUCUCUCUCCGGCAUACGACCACAGAUGUUGCGCCCACUAAACCAAACUUUCCAACUGUUCCCUUCUCCUAUGAUUCCUUCCCCUUCUGUCUCUCUCCGGCAUAUGACCACAGAUGUUGCGCCGACUAAACCAAACUUUCCAACUGUACCCUUCUCCUAUAAUUCCUUCCCCUUCUGUCUCUCUCCAGCAUAUGACCACAGAUGUUGCGCCGACUAAACCAAACUUUCCAACUUUUCCCUUCUCCUAUAAUUCCUUCCCCUUCUGUCUCUCUCCGGCAUAUGACCACAGAUGUUGCGCCGACUAAACCAAACUUUUUCCAUAACUAAUUUUGCAGUCCCAUAUUUCACCCACCUGGUUAAUUUGCUACCCAAUGUCCACAAGUUAAGCAAUAUCAGGUAUACGAAAUAUGGAUAGAAAUACAAUACACAUUUAGAAAUACAUAAUACAUUUAGCUCGCCAGCCUUCCAUAACUAAUUUUGCAGUCCCCUAUUUCACUCACCUGGUUAACCCUCAAGCUUCUCUUCCAAUCACCAUGCAUCUCUCAAGCCCGAACGUCCUUUUUUUGCCGCUGUGAAACUCUAUAUUCCAGUACGUAUUUUAGCCUCACAGAUAUAUCGUACCCCAAUAAAUUCGGUAUCAAUGGCUUCAUAAAGACUUAUACUAGAACAUGCGCAAAUGAAAAUAGAGGAAAACAUAUAUAUAAACAAUAGAAACUCGUUAAUCAAUAAAUCCUAAGUACAAACUCUUCCCCACUCGCUAUCUCGAAAUUUCGUGGGGCAACUUUUUUAGCCGAAUAUAUGUUUUGAAGCGGAAUUUAGUGAGGAUUCUUAUGGUAUCCUCAAAAUCCUCAUACGCCCAUUAGUUCCUGAGUUACACCGAGAAAACUGUAUAUUUUAUUCUCCCGUCAGAGUAGGCUAACAACUAAAAAUCCCUCCACACUCAUCAUCUACGCUCCUCAGAAAGGUUGCCAUAUGUUACCAUUAAGAAACAUAUCCCAACAAAUGACGCUCCAGAUUUGACGCACUUCCACCGAAAACUUAAUUUUUGAUGAAUUUUUUAACUUUUAUGAUGUGUUUUGUGUCAUCGGGCGCCAGAAUCAUUUACCUUUGAUCAUGUGUGAGAGGGUCAAUCUUCCACACCCCAGAAUGGUUAGGUUUUCCCUGUAACACACAACCAAACUCUUUCAUCUUCCACACCCCAGAAUGGUUAGGUUUUCCCUGUAACACACAACCAAACUCUCAUCUUCCACACCCCAGAAUGGUUAGGUUUUCCCUGUAACACACAACCAAACUCUCAUCUUCCACACCCCACAAUGGUUAGGUUUUCCCUGUAACACACAACCAAACUCUUUAAUCUUCCACACCCCACAAUGGUUAGGUUUUCCCUGUAAGACACAACCAAACUAUUUAAUCUUCCACACCUCACAAUGGUUAGGUUUUCCCUGUAAGACACAACCAAACUAUUUAAUCUUCCACACCUCACAAUGGUUAGG